rnacentral:rRNA from 1 species
UACGUAGGGGGCAAGCGUUAUCCGGAUUUACUGGGUGUAAAGGGGGCGCAGACGGCGAUGCAAGCCAGGAGUGAAAGCCCGGGGCCCAACCCCGGGACUGCUCUUGGAACUGCGUGGCUGGAGUGCAGGAGGGGCAGGCGGAAUUCCUGGUGUAGCGGUGAAAUGCGUAGAUAUCAGGAGGAACACCGGUGGCGAAGGCGGCCUGCUGGACUGCUACUGACGUUGAGGCCCGAAAGCGUGGGGAGCAAACAGG